rnacentral:rRNA from 1 species
UGGGGAAUCUUGCACAAUGGGGGAAACCCUGAUGCAGCGACGCCGCGUGAGCGAUGAAGGUUUUCGAAUCGUAAAGCUCUGUCCUAUGGGAAGAUAAUGACGGUACCAUGGGAGGAAGCCCCGGCUAACUACGUGCCAGCAGCCGCGGUAAUACGUAGGGGGCGAGCGUUGUCCGGAAUUACUGGGCGUAAAGGGUUCGCAGGCGGCAUGGCAAGUCCGAUGUAAAAGGCGAAGGCUCAACCUUCGUAAGCAUCGGAAACUGUCAAGCUUGAGUGAAGGAGAGGCAAGUUGAAUUCCUAGUGUAGCGGUGGAAUGCGUAGAUAUUAGGAGGAAUACCGGUGGCGAAGGCGACUUGCUGGACUUCAACUGACGCUGAGGAACGAAAGCGUGGGUAGCAAACAGG